CCCCCCGGCACCGGAGCUCAAUGAAGAGCACUGAAAAGCUGGCCACCCCUUGUUAUGGGCACUUGUUUCUUGGUUUUUAUUGUUUUCCUUCUGGUCUGGGGCUUUUAUAAAUUGCUGGAUGGUAGAGGAGCGGUUUUUUCUCAUGGUGGUAGAAUUCAGUUGCAGUUACAGCCUGUCGCCACCAGAUGGGGGUCGAGAGCGGCGUGUUAGCUCUCCGCCUUGGGGCAAGAUGGCUGCGCCCACUGGCUUCGCUGGGGGGGAGGGGCUGUUACUCACACGAGCAGGUCAGGGUUCAGAUCAGUUCUGUUCUCUGGUCUCCCAAGGCCCUUGAAUUUUGGGGUCCCCGCAGACGGAAGCUUGCCCCCCGCCCACCUCCCCACCCGUCAGCGGGUCUCCACUGAAUCAGCGGCAGGAGUCCUGGAUGAUCCUCCGGUCGCGCGGCCCCUCCCACGCUCCUUCCCUACCCAGCCAUCACAGACUCUAGGGGAGGGAGCGAUUUUCUCUCCUACCGUUGUGGCGCCUCCGAAGGGGAGAGAAUCCCGGGUCAGCUCACGCCGCCAUUUUGCUCCGCCCACCCUCACCGAAAACCGUUAUUUCAAAUUAAAACAUGCGGAGUCACUCACCUCACACCAGACCCAGCCAGGCGCAGAAGGCCACCUCUGGAAGGCUGGCACUUCCAGGCAAACUCCGAGGAGGGAAACGCACGGAGUCCGAGAGAAGGAAACGCAGUGGCUGCCAGGGACUUGCGGUUGGAAGAAGGGAGACUGACUGCUUCCCAGGGACAGGGUUUCUCUUGGAUAAAAAUGGGCGGGAACUAGAUGAGGAUGACGUUGGUGUGACCUUGUGAGUGUACUUCAUGCCACUUCAGCGAACAUUUAAAAAUCCAAGAAUUAAACUUUAUUGAACUGACGAGAUAAAAUACAGGGAAAGGUCAAGUAAAGAAAAGCCAAAAACAAAACUUUAAAACCACGCAAUGGAUAGGGGAAGGCAAGGAUUCUCCGGGGCUGCAGCGCAGGAGCUGAGGGUAGUGGCUGGGAUGCUGCAAGUGCUUGCUGAAGGUCUUGAGCCGGCUGUGGCUCGGGAGAUGCCUGUGCGGCUCUGAGCUGGGGGGGGC
rnacentral:lncRNA from 1 species